ACGAACGCUGGCGGCGUGCCUAAUACAUGCAAGUCGAGCGAAGUUUUUCUGGUGCUUGCACUAGAAAAACUUAGCGGCGAACGGGUGAGUAACACGUAAAGAACCUGCCUCAUAGACUGGGACAACUAUUGGAAACGAUAGCUAAUACCGGAUAACAGCAUUAACUGCAUGGUUGAUGUUUAAAAGUUGGUUUUGCUAACACUAUGAGAUGGCUUUGCGGUGCAUUAGCUAGUUGGUGGGGUAAAGGCCUACCAAGGCGACGAUGCAUAGCCGACCUGAGAGGGUGAUCAGCCACACUGGGACUGAGACACGGCCCAGACUCCUACGGGAGGCAGCAGUAGGGAAUCUUCCGCAAUGGGCGAAAGCCUGACGGAGCAACGCCGCGUGAGUGAAGAAGGAUUUCGGUUCGUAAAGCUCUGUUGUUAGGGAAGAAUGAUUGUGUAGUAACUAUACACAGUAGAGACGGUACCUAACCAGAAAGCCACGGCUAACUACGUG
rnacentral:rRNA from 1 species